GCCUCCGUAGCUCAAUGGAUAGAGCACCGGCCUUCUAAUCCGUAGGUUGCCAGUUCGAGUCUGGCCGGGGGCG
rnacentral:tRNA from 1 species